AUUUGCUGAAAGGAUGGGGGUUGUGUGGGUGAAAAAAGUAUUCUCAUUAGUUACAAUUCAAAAUGGUUUUGUUAAUUCUCAAACACACAUUCUCCCAUUUGGUCAAUUAUGAAGUGCUGUUCUGUUUAUUGCUGUAUACCAUCUGAAAACUAAAAGGAUUAAAACAACAAUUUGUGAUUGCCUUUCACAGUUCUGGAAGUUUAUAGUUCAGUUGGACAUUUCCCUCUUGGGUUCCUCCAUCAGUUACAGGUAGACUGGGGCCGAGGCUGGAAACAUCUCAAGGCCUCUUCACCCAUGUACCUGACAUCCAGACUGAGAGGUCUGGAAAAGCUGGGGUAGAUCAGGAAGGCACCUUCUCCAUGUGGCCAAUUUGGGAUUCCUCAAACCAUGGUGCUCUCCAGGUAGUUAGGCUUCUUAUUUGGCACCUGGAUUUUUACAGAGGGGGUGAUCUAAAAAAAUCACAGCAAAUGUUUCACAGGGUCACAGAAGCUUCCUAUAACUUAGUCACAGAAGUCACACAGCAUCACCACCACCACAUUCUCUUGGUUACAGAGGGCUGGCCCAACUUAGCGUGGAGAGGACUACCAGGAGGCAUGGUUCAUUGGUGCCACCUGGGAGCGUAGCUACUGAGAGGUUAUAUUCACGUACUAGAGGGCAGUGGAGACAAGAAAAUGUGUCACUAAAGGCUGUCUGGGGACUAAAGAAAGUCCUCAUUAUUUUGAAGAGGGAUGUUUGUUACACAAGGGAUCCCUGCUAUGGUAUGUCAUCGAGUGGACACCACACAGGAAGCUAGUUUAACUAAAGAGGGAAUUCAUUUUUUACAUUUAACUACUAACAUUUUGGGAGAAAGCAAGAAACAAGAUGAGCACUGAGCGUUGUUAUUAUUAUUUGAGAUGGAGUUUCAUUCUUGUUGCCCAGGCUAGUGUGCAGUGGUGCGAUCCCAACUCACUGCAACCUCUGCCUCCCAGGUUUAAGCAAUUCUCCUGUCUCAUCAUCCUGAGUAGCUGGGAUUACAGGUGCCUGUCACUACGCCCAGCUAAUUUGUUCUAUUUUUAGUAGAGAUGGGGUUUUACCACGUUGGCCAGGCUGGUCUUGAACUCCUGACCUCAGGUGAUCCACCCACCUCGGCCUCCCAAAGUGUGAAGAUUACAGGUGUGAGCCACUUUGCCCAGCCUGCAUUGUUAUUUUUUGUUCACAGAGAGAGUAAAUAACUAAAAUGCUUCUUCAAGUCGCAGGUUACAUUUAAUAGCAGAAAAAGAAUUUCAGGAACUGUUACUUAUUGCCAGGAAAUAAGGGGCCAGGUCAAUGCUCAGAGCCUACCAUACCCUUGAAGAUUCCUAGCAAUUAAGUGAACUAUUAAUUUCUGGAUUCGGAAACCAGAAACAAAACUUUGCCUUCUUUACAGAUAAGGGGGACACUGUAUCAUCUGCUGUCCGGUGUCAAAUGUCACAAUGAAUGGUCUGUUCUCCCCUGUGAAUUUGUUCUGUGGUCAUAACUGUAUACAGGAAUCACUUUGGAAUCCUCAAAACCCCCGAGCCUUGUGUUAAACCCCACGAGUAUUUAGAGUUUUACAACUACGAAGCUGAAUGUCGAGAGAAAAAGACAAAGAUUCCAAAAAAAUGGUCUCAAAGUACCUCCUUGUUUAAGUUGGCUGCCAGGCAAAUCAGCUCAUCUCCAGCAGAACAGAAGCCGCCUUUUCAGGGAAGCGUGGCAGCUGCCGGCGAACACAAAGCAGCUCUGUGAUGGUUGAAGCCAGCAAAGAAAAGCGCCCCCUCCGAGUGGAAUCACAGGAAGGAAACCUCCGUGGGCAGCAGGAGCAAGUGCAAUCCCUGGAGACGAGUCGAAGGGGCCCGAGGCCCCGAGAAGGGCAGGAUGCGAUGCUGGGUGUGUGACCUCAGCCAUGGAAGGGCCACCUGCCACCGGGGGGCUGGGCCGUCGGGCCUUUGGUUGUGGAGGGAAAAGAGUGGCCACUUGCUGGAGCUGGGAACGUGCAGUGAUGAGCACUAGGACAAGAGGACCGUGACAAACAGACAUAGAAGGUAAAACUGCCCGAGUACAGGCUGAUCCACAGACCUGUGUCCAGGGAGAGGCCUCAGGAUGGAUUUGGAAAUGCAGGACAGGUUCAUGAAAUCCUCACACACCUGCCACAUACUCAAGGAGGGUGCUGUUUACUUGAUUGAUUGUGCUGGUCCUGAACAUCUGACAUGAUUUGUGGUUAUAAAUGGGUGUUUGCCGUUAACUAUAAGUAUCUUGGAGUAAUUUAACAAACAACAAUAGGUAUUGGGGCAGGUCAGCGCGUCUCCACCUGAAAGACAAAGGAAAGCCGUGAACGCAGGACCAGCAGUUGUGGCUCACGGUGAGAGGUGACAGCGUGGUAGCAUCCCUUGCUGGCUCUGGGCGCGUCCUCGGCCUCGGCGUCCGCUCUGGCCGCGCUCAAGGAGCUCUUCAGCCCGCCGCUGCGCUAUGAGGGCCUCUCUCUGGGGCUGGCGGAGGCCGGAGCCUGCUCCCUCUGCUGGCGGGGAGGUGUGAAGAGAAAGGCACUGGCUGGAGCCGGCGCUGCGCGCGGCGCUCGCGGCCCAGCGCUUGGGUUCCAGGUGAGCUCCGGCUCUGCAAGCCCCGCACUCGGCGUGGCCGGCCGGCGCCUGCUGGGCUUGAUCGGAGACUGAAUCCCUGCGUGGACCACCGUUCCCUCUUCGCGGGAUUGUUGGCCACCAUAGCCGAUCUCCGUCUCUUUCUCUCUUCCCCUCUUUUCCUCUUGAUUGUCUGGAACUAGCUCCCUCUGGGCUGCCGGAUUACCCGGCCCGCCAAGUUCCGCAGCGAGAGCCAGUGAGAGAUGAUGCCGGCUGGGCUUCUGGGACGGUUGGGGACUUGGAGAACUUUUGUGUCUAACUAAAGGAUUGUAAACGCACCAAUCAGCACUCUGUGUCUAGCUAAAGGUUUGUAAAUGCACCAAUCAGCUCUCUGUCAAAACGGACCAAUCAGCUCUCUGUAAAAUGGACCAAUCAGCUGCCUGUAAAGCGGACCAAUCAGCAGGAUGUGGGUGGGGCCAAAUAAGGGACUAAAAGCAGGCCACCAGAGCAGGCCGCUGCAGCUUGCUCGGGUUCUCUCUCUGCUCUGUGGAAACGUUGUUGUUUAGCUCUUUGCAGUGAAUCUGGCUGCUGCUUAUUGUUUGGGACUGUGCCACCUUUUUUUUUUUUUUUUUUUUUUUGAGACAGAUUCUUGUUCUGUCUCUUAGGCUGGAGUGCAGUGGCGUGGUCUCGGCUAACUGCAAGCUCCGCCUCCCAGGUUCACGCCGUUCUCCUAUUUCAGUCUUUCCGGUAGCUGGGACUACAGGCGCCCACCACAAUGCCUGGCUAAUUUGCGCCAUCUUUAAGAGCUGUAACACUCACCGCUAAGGUCUGCAGCUUCACUCCUGAAGCCAGCCAGACUACGAACCCUUACUACGAACCCAUCAGCUGGAAGGAACAAUUCCAGACAAUUCCACACAGGAGGAAGCAACAACUCUGGAUGUGCCACCUUUAGGAACUGUACCACUCACGGGAAGGUCUGCAGCUUCACUCCUGAAGUGAGCAAGACUACGAACCUACCGGGAGGAAGGAACAAAUUACGGACACACCAUUCUUUAAGAACUGUAACAAACCCGCGAGGGUCCGCAGCUUCAUUCUUGAAGUCAGCGAGACCAAGAACCCACUAAUUCCAUACGCAAUGGGUUCAUUUCUUUUUUUUUUUUUUUUACAAAAGUCUUCUCUGUGCUGACUUAAGGGGACACUUUGUGUCACUUCCAGGGAAGGAUGCGCUGGGGUCCCGACAUUCUGUCAGGGUCCAAACACCCUCGUUCCUCAUCCAGGGCAUGGAGCACCUGAGUAGGAUGGAACAUUUGGGAAAAACCCCACCUCAGUCCCAGGCCCGGCAGCCUGAGGAGAUCUAAGGCUGGCUGGGCAUUCGAGCUGUAAGAGCAGGGAGUGUUUACUGCACCCAGGAGAGGUGAUCAGGACACAAUUUCACUAUUUCUGGUUGUUUUAGAAUCAGGUUCCUUUGUCUCCUUAUUUUACCUCAGUUACAUUUUCCAAGAUCCUAGGACUCACAGAAGGAUGCAGUCGGUGGGGGCAGAGUGCUGUACCAGGGCCUCCAGACAUGGUUUCUAGACACUGGCUCAUGUGAUGGCACCAGGGCCCCCAGCCAUGGUUUCUAGACAUUUGGUCAUACCAUGGCCUUGGUUGAUGACCCCAUCCAUCGGAUUUCAUCCUCCUCAAAACGAAACAGAAGGUUUAGCCCAGCAGAUCUCUGGAGUCUGUGAUUUUCAGAUGAGAGCCCAAUUGAUGGUGAAGCAUAACAAGAGUACGGUUGAUUUCAUUCCUUCAGCAUUCACUUAUUCCAUGUGUGUGUAAAGCCUGAUCUGUGUUGGAGAGCUCAGCAUGCAGACAUGACGUGAUGGAGCUGUGGCUCUACAGUUACCCCUCACCAUAGUAAACAGAUGCACAAUUACUUUUGAUUAUGUUCGUGUAAUAAAGGUAGUUAAAGUUCAACAUUUAUCAGAAAAACAUAUGAGCUCUGACAGUUCAUAAUUUGACAUCAUUUAGAACCAUGGCCAUAAAAGAGUCUGCAGGCACAAAGCCCGUGUCAAAAGAAGAAGGAAAGUGAUCAGGUGUCUCUUACUACAGGUCCUUUGCUUAUGACUUCCAGAGAUUCAGUAUAAUUGUGCAUCAGAUAAACGGGCUAGAAUAAAGACUCAUAACUUCUUUGUCACACUUUUGACAGCUUAUUAAGCUCUAAGACAAUUAUGGUAUUUAAUUCAUUGAUUAGGAUAUGUAAAUUAUACCCCCAAACCUGAGCCUUUAAUAGAAGCAUGACAAAUACCGCUGUCACUUGCCAUAUCACAUUUUAUGUGAGGUGCACAGUCAGAAAAACUGAGGUUACAGGAGUUUAGUUCAUCUUCUCAAAUUCCCCCAGUUGCUGAUUGGUGUCUUUGAAUGUCAUGCUCUGGUUUUUCUGGCUGAAAUAUUGGUCUUUUGUUAAAACAAAGGACAUCAGCUCCAGUGCGGCUCGUGCACAGGACAUGUUAUGUCCGGGUGAGCAUCGGACCUCCCACUGAUGGUCGGCCCCAGCAGCAUAGCAUCUUGAGAUGAACCCCACCAGCUCCCUCACGGCAGCUGCUCCAGCAGCUGAUGUUCAGUUUCCUCACUGUCCAGCUCUGCCCUGUGCUGCCUCUGCUGCCCUCUGGCUUGCAAGUUUCUCUCUGCUAGUCUAUUUCCUGUCUGUUCUACUGGAGGCAUCACCUGCUAUCUGCACAGAGUGAACAUGGGGUGACUGUCACUUGAUUCCAUAAGCAAAUGUGGAGGGAGAGACCUCACUUGACAAAGAAUAUCCAUACUCAGCUAUUAUUAGAUCAUCAUGGAGAGAAUCAGAAGUCAAGGGUAAUUGUAAGUGUCCCAAAAGGUCAAGUUUGAGAACCACAGUCUUGCAAUAAACAGGGAGGAGCCCUGAACAGAUCAGCAUUUGUUGUGCUUAAUUUGCCUGAGGCAGCUGGUAUGAUGAAGUGUCCUGGAGGCUGAGGCUUGAGCAGAGCUCUCACCCCAUUCACUCCAGAGGGGAAAGGCAGGCGAGGUGGGGGAAAGGCAGGCAAGAUGGGGGAAAGACUGGGACUGCGCCUCCUGUGCCUGCUGUUGGGGCGCAGCAGAGUCCUGAAGGCAUGGCUCCUCAUUCCCAGUUGAGAACCCCUUUGGCCUCCCUGGGACCCUGUUCCUGGCUUUUCGUUCCAUCAGUUGGAAUGAGAAUGUUUAUCAAAGAAUGGUACUCACGUGGCUUUCAGAUGUCCUUGAAGAAAAGCUGCUUUCUCCAUUGUAUUUAUUGCAAGAGCAGGAUCACUUGAAACUUAAAGCUGAAGACUGACACGAGACUAAAUUGCACAAGCCAUUUCAUUCCCAAGUGUCCCAGCAAAUACACAUGUCAAGUGAUGUGAGCAGCUGUGUGUGUAGAGCUGACGCACGUCCUCUCCAACCCUUAGUGCUCCUGUGUGCUAAUGAAGGAUGCUGAACGCAAUCAUUAUGGUAAUGAGGAGGUGGACAGUGCAACCUCCCCUUCCCUCUGUGUUCAACAGCUUCCCACAGGGCAGGCCCCACACGUGCUGAGGCUGAGACCCAAGACUGGUGACUCAGCAGAGCAGACGAGCGUGUGUGUGUGUGUGUAUGGAUAGUGUCUUUUUGUCACAGAGAGAGGUUGGAUAUGUGUGUUUCAGAUUUCUAGUGCAUGUUUGUGAUCCUGUGUGACUGUCAGUGUACUUUUGUGAGUGUUUUGUGAGAGUGAGGCCAUGUUUGGUGAAAGAAUGUGUGACUGUGUGUGUGUUCUGCAGGACGCAGGAGUAAGAAGGGGAUGGAGAGAGCCUCUUACAGACUCCCCGGGAAACAUGGGCACUGGAAUUUCACCCAAUCCUUGCAUACACAUCUUGUUAAAGCCCCACAAUGCUCUAAAAAGCUUGGGAAAGUGAUGUGGCAACCCUUCAAAAUGAAAAAUUAGAUCCCUGUAAACACAGUGCUCCUAGUGUUCCUUCUCUUCCUUGCCCUGCAGGGCCUUGAUCUUGGCGUUGCUCUCAGCUGACUGCAUGGGUUCCGUUAUCCAUGGAAAGAAAGCCAGCUAGAAACAAUCCCCCUGCCGAGAGAGCCCGACAGCUGCCCCAACCACCCAUGGGUUGAUUUGUAAGAAGCAUAUUGGAAUACGGUCCUGCAGACAAUAGACAGUUGCAAAAUCAGGACCUGACGCUAAUCCCCACUGCUUCAGAAAUCUUCAUUCCAAAUCAACGAAAAAAGAGCGCAAACCCCAAAAAGACCUGCACUUCAUAGAAUGGCUUUGGCUUUUAUCAAGCCACAGAGAAAAUAUAUCAAAACCCUUGAGAAUCCAAGCAAUUUUUUUGUUGCUCUAAAAUUUGUCACAGUUAACAUCAGAGAAGAGAAAACUUGUCUCGUUCAGGCCUACUUUCUAAAGAAAGCAGUGAAAUUCAG
rnacentral:lncRNA from 10 species